AAAAAAAGCUAUAAGCAGCGGGGAUAAAGCCUGCGGUGUGUCUUUGCAGCUGCACUGAGACCCAUACUAGCACGCUUUCCAAUCAAACUGGCUCCUAUAUUAUACAUUUAUUUGCAACCCAUCCUUAAGAUAAAAAAAUAAUUUUUUUUUUUUUUUUAAAUUGCCAUGUUUCUACCAGGAGAGCAAUGAAGAGCUGUACUUUCAAUUCCGGACAAAAAUGUUGUCAAACAGCACACGUCUUCGCUGAAUUCUUCUGAACAUUUUGCGAAUGGUGAUGAACACCCCAUUUUGGGUGUGUGCAUAGAAGCCUCAGUACCAGCCACUGCAGUAGGACCGUGCAUCGGAGGGGCCCACGUGCCUGUGGUGAAAUGAGCCCAGGUGUGCAGGAAGUUGCAAAGCAAUGAGUGUAAAGGAGCUGCUUCUUGGAAGGAUCAGGAGAGUCCCAGACAGCUGCGAGAGAAGCCAUCUGUGUCAGAAACUGAACUAUGGCUGCAGGCUUCAGGACACACAUUUACUUCCCACAUUGUUUUUAUGAAGAUCGUUUUUAUGAACAUCAUCCUUUGAGUAGCUAUGGGAGAAGUAUCUUAAUGCCUUCUUAGCAGAGAUACCUGAUACUGCACCAAUUAAAACUAUCUACUUAAUAAGGUUGAGUUGGAUUUUUGUUUC